AUGUUGAAGCUUCAGUGUUGGAUCUGCGAGGCUUGGAUUUGCGGCAGUUUUCUGUCCGGAAUGGGAUCCGUCUCUGGCUGGAUCUGCCAGUGGUUAACCAAUGUUUCAUUUACUUCACCGUCCCAACGAACCUACAACAGACAUGCAUUCAGUCCGCUUAAGCUUCAGGAACAGAUAUUUGCAAAGUAA